UACGGGGGGGGCAAGCGUUGUUCGGAAUUACUGGGCGUAAAGGGUUCGUAGGUGGCCAACUAAGUCAUACGUGAAAUCCCUCAGCUUAACUGGGGAACUGCGUCUGAUACUGGUUGGCUUGAGUGCAGGAGAGGAACGCGGAAUUCCAGGUGUAGCGGUGAAAUGCGCAGAUAUCAGGAGGAACACCGGUGGCGAAGGCGGAUCUCUGGGCCUUACCUGACGCUGAGGCGCGAAAGCUAGGGGAGCGAACAGG
rnacentral:rRNA from 1 species